rnacentral:rRNA from 1 species
GGGAUAACCCGGGAAACCGGAGCUAAUACCGAAUAAGACCACGAUGACUUCGGUCGAUGUGGGAAAAGAUGGCCUCUUCUUGAAAGCUAUCGCCGAUGGAUGAGCCCGCGUUUGAUUAGCUUGUUGGUGAGGUAACGGCUCACCAAGGCUCCGAUCAAUAGCUGGUCUGAGAGGAUGAUCAGCCACACUGGAACUGAGACACGGUCCAG